rnacentral:rRNA from 1 species
GACGAACCGUGCAAACGUUGUUCGGAAUCACUGGGCUUAAAGGGCGCGUAGGCGGGCAGGCAAGUCGGAGGUGAAAGCCCGCGGCUCAACCGUGGAAGUGCCUUCGAUACUGCAUGUCUAGAGGGAGGUAGGGGCGUGCGGAACUUCCGGUGGAGCGGUGAAAUGCGUAGAUAUCGGAAGGAACACCGGUGGCGAAAGCGGCGCGCUGGAUCUCUACUGACGCUGAGGCGCGAAAGCGUGGGGAGCAAACAGG